CUUGCACUUUGGCAGACUGAGUGGCGGACGGGUGAGUAACGCGUGAGUAACCUGCCCUAGAGUGGGGGACAACAGACGGAAACGACUGCUAAUACCGAAUAAGUUCCAAGGGCCGCAUGGCCCAUGGAAGAAAAGGUGGCCUCUACCUGUAAGCUAUCGCCUGAAGAGGGGUUUGCGUCUGAUUAGCUGGUUGGAGGGGUAACGGCCCACCAAGGCGACGAUCGGUAGCCGACCUGAGAGGGUGAUCGGCCACAUUGGGACUGAGACACGGCCCAAACUCC
rnacentral:rRNA from 1 species